rnacentral:rRNA from 1 species
GGGUGAGUAACACGUGGGUGAUCUGCCCUGCACUUCGGGAUAAGCUUGGGAAACUGGGUCUAAUACCGGAUAGGAGCCAUCUUUAGUGUGGUGGUUGGAAAGUUUUUUCGGUGUAGGAUGAGCUCGCGGCCUAUCAGCUUGUUGGUGGAGUAAUGGCCUACCAAGGCGGCGACGGGUAGCCGGCCUGAGAGGGUGUACGGCCACAUUGGGACUGAGAUACGGCCCAG